GACGAACGCUGGCGGCGUGCUUAACACAUGCAAGUCGAACGGAAAGGCCCGGCUUUUGUGGGGUUCUCGAUUGGCGAACGGGGGAGUAACACGUGAGUAACCUGCCCUUAACUUUGUGAGAACUUCAGGAAACUGGGAGUAAUACCGGAUAGGAGCUCCGGCUCCAUGGUGGGGAUUGGAAAAGUUGGGCGGGUGGGCAUGGACUCGAGGCUUAUCAGCUUGUUGGUGGGGUAGUGGUUUACCAACUCUUUGACGGGUAGCCGACACGAGAGCGUGACCGGCCACAUUGGGACUGCGAUAGGCACCAGACUCGAACGGGAGGCAGUUGUGGGGAAUCUUGCACAAUGGGCGGACGUCUGUUGCAGCAAUCCCGCGUGCGGAAUGACGGCUUACGAGUUGUAAACAGCUUUCGCAUGUACCGAAGCGAGCGUGACGGUACUGAGUAAAGAAGCACCGGCUAACUACGUG
rnacentral:rRNA from 1 species